GGAAGUAAAAGUCGUAACAAGGUUUCCGUAGGUGAACCUGCGGAAGGAUCAUUCAUAAUAAGUGUUCUACUGCACUUUUUAAACAAGUACUCACCUUGUGUGCAAUGUUUGCUGUCAGGUUCGUUUAUUCGUCUUGACAGCAUAAUACCAACCUUUAUUUUAAAUAUUUUUGUCUGAAGCUAUUUUGAAUAUAUAAUUCUAAAUACAACUUUCAACAACGGAUCUCUUGGCUCUCGCAUCGAUGAAGAACGCAGCGAAAUGCGAUACGUAAUGUGAAUUGCAGAAUUCAGUGAAUCAUCGAAUCUUUGAACGCACAUUGCACUCUCUGGUAUUCCGGAGAGUAUGCUUGUUUGAGUAUCAGUAAACACCUCAACUUCCAUAUCUUUUUUGAAAUGGGAGUUGGACUUGAGUGAUCCCAACGCUUUUCCUCUCCGAAAAGUGGCGGGUUACUUGAAAUGCAGGUGCAGCUGGACUUUUCUCUGAGCUAUAAGCAUAUCUAUUUAGUCUGCCUAAAAAACAGAUUAUUACCUUUGCUGCAGCUAACAUAAAGGAGAUUAGUUCUUGUGCUGACUGAUGCAGGAUUCACAAAGACGGCUUCGGCCGACUUUGUAAACUCGAUCUCAAAUCAAGUAAGACUACCCGCUGAACUUAAGCAUAUCAAUAAGCGGAGGA
rnacentral:rRNA from 1 species